rnacentral:rRNA from 1 species
UACAGAGGUCCCAAGCGUUGUUCGGAUUCACUGGGCGUAAAGGGUGCGUAGGUGGCCGGGUAAGUCUGAUGUGAAAUCUUGCGGCUCAACCGCGAAACUGCAUUGGAUACUAUUCGGCUUGAGGGUUGGAGGGGGGACUGGAAUUCUCGGUGUAGCAGUGAAAUGCGUAGAUAUCGGGAGGAACACCUGUGGCGAAAGCGGCGCACUGGACCAUAACUGACGCUGAGGCGCGAAAGCUAGGGGAGCAAACAGG